rnacentral:rRNA from 1 species
AUUGCCUUAGUAACGGCGAGUGAAGCGGCAACAGCUCAAAUUUGAAAGCUGGCUCCUUCGGAGUCCGCAUUGUAAUUUGUAGAGGAUGAUUCGGCGAGGGCUCCCGCCUAAGUCCACUGGAACGUGGCGUCAUAGAGGGUGAGAAUCCCGUAUGCGGUGGGUUGCCUUAGCCAUGUGAAUCUCCUUCGACGAGUCGAGUUGUUUGGGAAUGCAGCUCUAAAUGGGAGGUAAAUUUCUUCUAAAGCUAAAUACCGGCCAGAGACCGAUAGCGCACAAGUAGAGUGAUCGAAAGAUGAAAAGCACUUUGGAAAGAGAGUUAAAAAGUACGUGAAAUUGUUGAAAGGGAAGGGCUUGCAACCAGACUUGUCCGCAGUUGCUCAGCCGGUCUCCUGACCGGCGUACUCUUCUGCGGCCAGGCCAGCAUCAGUUCGGGCGGUCGGAUAAAGACCCGGGGAAUGUAGCUCCUCUCGGGGAGUGUUAUAGCCCUGGGUGGAAUGCGACCAGCCUGGACUGAGGAUCUCGCUUCGGCAAGGAUGCUGGCGUAAUGGUUGUAAGCCGCCCGUCUUGAAACACGGACCAAGGAGUCUAACAUCUAUGCGAGUGUUUGGGUGUCAAACCCAUACGCGUAAUGAAAGUGAACGGAGGUGGGAACCCGCAAGGGCGCACCAUCGGCCGAUCCUGAUGUCUUCGGAUGGAUUUGAGCAAGAGCAUAGCUGUUGGGACCCGAAAGAUGGUGAACUAUGCCUGAAUAGGGUGAAGCCAGAGGAAACUCUGGUGGAGGCUCGCAGCGGUUCUGACGUGCAAAUCGAUCGUCAAAUUUGGGUAUAGGGGCGAAAGACUAAUCGAACCAUCU